UACGGAGGGUGCAAGCGUUAAUCGGAAUUACUGGGCGUAAAGCGUGCGUAGGCGGUUCGUUAAGUCUGUUGUGAAAGCCCCGGGCUCAACCUGGGAAUGGCAAUGGAUACUGGCGAGCUAGAGUGUGUCAGAGGAUGGUGGAAUUCCCGGUGUAGCGGUGAAAUGCGUAGAGAUCGGAAGGAACACCAGUGGCGAAGGCGGCUACCUGGCCGGAUACUGACACUGAAGCACGAAAGCGUGGGGAGCAAACAGG
rnacentral:rRNA from 1 species